rnacentral:lncRNA from 1 species
AAAGAAUUUAGUGGGAAAGCCCAAACAUUUAUGGGAAAUGUCUCAAUUUAUUUUAACCCAAUUAGUGAUGAUGGGCAUGGGGGUCAUUUAAUAAAGAAAUUUAAUGAAAACAAUUAAUUAAACCAUCAUGUGGCAAUUUAAAGGCCAAGUGGCCGAAUAUUGCAAGAAAAAAAAAAUCGGCAAGAUAGAAAAGAAGAGAGAGGAGGAGCCGAGAGAAAGGGAGAGAACGGGAGAAGAAGAAGAGAGGGGCAGCCCCCUUGUGGAAGAUAAGGAGAAGGAAGAUCUCCAUGGAUGGAAGAAAUAGA